rnacentral:misc_RNA from 1 species
UCUGGCUUAUAGCCUAGCGGUCCCAUUAAAGUGCCCAACUUAAUGCUGGCAACUAAUGGCGAGGGUUGCGCUCGUUGCGGGACUUAACCCAACAUCUCACAACACGAGCUGACGACAGCCAUGCAGCACCUGUCUCUGCGUCUCCGAAGAGAACCUCGAAUUUCUCCGAGUUGCACAGGAUGUCAAGUCCAGGUAAGGUUUUUCGCGUAGCAUCGAAUUAAACCACAUGCUCCACCGCUUGUGCGGGCCCCCGUCAAUUCCUUUGAGUUUUAAUCUUGCGACCGUACUUCCCAGGCGGAAUACUUACCGCGUUAGCUGCGUCACCGAGACAAUUAGGUAUCCCGACGACUAGUAUUCAUCGUUUAGGGCGUGGACUAC